GUGCCAGCCGCCGCGGUAAUACGUAGGGGCGAGCGUUGUCCGGAAUUAUUGGGCGUAAAGCGCGCGCAGGCGGUUCCUUAAGUCUGAUGUGAAAGCCCACGGCUCAACCGUGGAGGGUCAUUGGAAACUGGGGACUUGAGUGCAGGAGAGGAGAGCGGAAUUCCACGUAUAGCGGUGAAAUGCGUAGAGAUGUGGAGGAACACCAGUGGCGAAGGCGGCUCUCUGGCCUGUAACUGACGCUGGAGGCGACGAAAGCGUGGGA
rnacentral:rRNA from 1 species